UAGCGACCUGAUCGGCGCUGGAUCGGUCGCUACCUAGCGACCAAACGAAAGAUUUGGUCGGUCGCUACGUAGCGACCGACCGAGUGACUUGGCCGGUCGCUACUCGUUCGCGGACCAGUAGCUAUGUGGCGACCUUGUUGGGAACCUUUUCUGACGUUUUGUGAACGUGUUCUUGGACUACGAGUGUUUAGUUUCGAUGAAUCAACCGAGAUUAGUAUAAGAUUUCACCGCAAAAUUCUUCGUAAAAGUAAUCUUUACGAAGAUUACUUUUCGUAAAAACGUUCAUGUUGAUUUUUACGGAUAUUUGGAUGUUAACUUCGUCGUGUCCGUUUUUGACCCCAACAGUAUGUCCCUCUAUCAGUGAUGAAGGCUGUU
rnacentral:lncRNA from 1 species